rnacentral:rRNA from 1 species
UCGCGGCCUAUCAGCUUGUUGGUGGGGUAAUGGCCUACCAAGGCUUCGACGGGUAGCCGGCCUGAGAGGGUGACCGGCCACACUGGGACUGAGACACGGCCCAGACUCCUACGGGAGGCAGCAGUGGGGAAUAUUGGACAAUGGGCGGAAGCCUGAUCCAGCAACGCCGCGUGAGGGAUGACGGCCUUCGGGUUGUAAACCUCUUUCAGCACAGACGAAGCGCAAGUGACGGUAUGUGCAGAAGAAGGACCGGCCAACUACGUGCCAGCAGCCGCGGUAAUACGUAGGGUCCGAGCGUUGUCCGGAAUUAUUGGGCGUAAAGGGCUCGUAGGCGGUUUGUCGCGUCGGGAGUGAAAACACCGGGCUUAACUCGGUGCUUGCUUUCGAUACGGGCAGACUAGAGGCAUUCAGGGGAGAACGGAAUUCCUGGUGUAGCGGUGAAAUGCGCAGAUAUCAGGAGGAACACCGGUGGCGAAGGCGG